rnacentral:rRNA from 1 species
UGGGGAGUCUUGCACAAUGGGCGGAAGCCUGAUGCAGCGACGCCGCGUGGGGGAUGACGGCCUUCGGGUUGUAAACUCCUUUCGCCAGGGACGAAGCCGUGAGGUGACGGUACCUGGAUAAGAAGCACCGGCUAACUACGUGCCAGCAGCCGCGGUAAUACGUAGGGUGCGAGCGUUGUCCGGAAUUACUGGGCGUAAAGAGCUCGUAGGUGGUUUGUCGCGUCGUCUGUGAAAUUCCGGGGCUUAACUCCGGGCGUGCAGGCGAUACGGGCAUAACUUGAGUGCUGUAGGGGAGACUGGAAUUCCUGGUGUAGCGGUGAAAUGCGCAGAUAUCAGGAGGAACACCGAUGGCGAAGGCAGGUCUCUGGGCAGUAACUGACGCUGAGGAGCGAAAGCAUGGGUAGCGAACAGG